AUCCAACUGACGAAUUCCAACUAGGACGAAACGUGCGUCCUGGAU
rfam:Schistosoma mattheei strain Denwood, Zambia genome assembly, scaffold: SMTD_contig0004602